rnacentral:antisense_RNA from 2 species
GCUUAUGGCGGCUUUGCGUGGGGCACUUUCGAGUGCGCCGGAUUUGUAGGUUGCCCCGGUCUGCUAACCCGCGUCAAAGUCGCCACCCAU